UUAAAUUGAAGAGUUUGAUCAUGGCUCAGAUUGAACGCUGGCGGCAGGCCUAACACAUGCAAGUCGAACGGUAACAGGAAGCAGCUUGCUGCUUCGCUGACGAGUGGCGGACGGGUGAGUAAUGUCUGGGAAACUGCCUGAUGGAGGGGGAUAACUACUGGAAACGGUGGCUAAUACCGCAUAACGUCGCAAGACCAAAGAGGGGGACCUUCGGGCCUCUUGCCAUCAGAUGUGCCCAGAUGGGAUUAGCUUGUUGGUGAGGUAACGGCUCACCAA
rnacentral:rRNA from 1 species